UUGUGAAGUGCCCCACUCCAAAGAGUGCCAUUCAAGUAUACUAAAAUAUGAUUGGCACUUUUUUGAGUGUCGUAAUUCACAA
rnacentral:pre_miRNA from 1 species